AAGGAAUUUAUUUAGGGAACCCUGCUCACAAAAACACGACCUUGUUCUUUGGUGAAGCAAUUCACACUUGGUUUAUACCUCUACAAACACUAUUGUGAGCAUUUAUACUUGUGCACCAGUUGAUGCUCAAAAAAAACAACAAAAAAACACACAACUCAUUCUUAAUACAGUUUAAAUUUAUUAACAGUUGCCAGCAAAAUUCAUUUCAAAGUGCAUACCAGUUGCCAAACAGAUUACAAUCUAGUGUAAAAAUGCAUGUUUGUCUAUUACAGAUAAAUCUAGUCAUUCCUGUUAAUGAAACUAUGAAAUCAAUCAAAUACAUGCAGGAAAUGUUUUUUAUUUUUAUUAUUGGAUUUUUUUUUUUAAAUUCAUUGUGAAUUUGGGAGUAAACCAGAAUACCUGGUGUAAACCCUUGAUGAUGUUUGUUUUAUGUUUGUUUUUAAAUUCAUUAGGAAUGUCUUCCCAGCCUGAGCUUUUGUGAGCUCUCAUUAUUGCGUACAUGCCCUGUAUGUUCAGACCCCUUUUUAACUAUAGGUGGACGAGGUUUGAAUUGGCCCUGAUUAUUUGUGGGCUGCACCUUAUCAGAGAUAGGUGGUAAACGUACAUGCCCUGUAUGUUCAGACCCCUUUUUAACUAUAGGUGGACGAGGUUUGAAUUGGCCCUGAUUAUUUGUGGGCUGCACCUUAUCAGAGAUAGGUGGUAAACGUACAUGCCUUGUAUGUUCAGACCCCUUUUUAACUAUAGGUGGAUGAGGUUUGAAUUGGCCCUGAUUAUUUGUGGGCUGCACCUUAUCAGAGAUAGGUGGUAAACGUACAUGCCCUGUAUGUUCAGACCCCUUUUUAACUAUAGGUGGAUGAGGUUUGAGUUGGCCCUGAUUAUUCGUAGGUUGCACCGCAUCAGACGUAGGUGGUAAACGUACAUGCCCUGUAUGUUCAGACCCCUUUUUA